CGAACAAAAUUUAAGGUAGUCUGUGAGCAGGCGAGUGACUAUGCGCUUGCGUGGCCGUCGGAGAAUUCUCUUCCUUUUUUAAUUUUCCUUUUUUUCCUCUCGCUGUUUUUGUUCGCAUUUUCCUUUCCUCUCGUUUCUUCUCUUUUCUUCAUCUUUUUCUUCAGAACAUCGAUUCAAUCUCCGAGGGUCUACAACCUUCUUCCCUGCUUUCCUUUCACCCGAUUCGACAUGUUAAAUUGAAAUCACCGAAAGCAAUUGUUGAGCCAGGCCAAUUUUGGAACUGAUAAUACGAACCUACCCAAAUUGGAUCAGGAAAUACACCGAAGAUUCUUAAGUGAAAUUAAAAUGAAAUUCGUCGAACUGGCAAAACAUUGAAGAAUAUUCUGAUAAUAAUAGCUAUUACUAAACACAAACACCAAUUGAUUCGAAAUGAUAUGAUGACACUAUUCACUGAUAAAACACGGCUGAACUAUUGUUUGACGGAUCGUCAAUAAUGUCGAAAUUGGAAAAGGGAAAGCAAAAAUCAUCUAUUAUUGAGAAUUUGUAAAUAUAUUUAUUUGUAUAUACAAACACAUAUACGUAAUUUAUAUAAAGAGAGAGAUGUAGAGUACUGAUAUUAAAAGUACAACGCUACUCAAGACAUGCUCGGUGAAUGAAAAUUUCUUUCGAAAUUGGCCAGUAGUCGGCGUUGCAGAUCACAUACUAAUGUAUCCAAGAAAUAAUUAUGUACAUCAACAACUUCAACAAAUUCUUUAUUUUCAUAAAAAAGCAAAGAUAUUUUGGGACACAACUGGGAAGAUAUAUUACAAAUAAACAUUUACAAGUUUUAUAGCAGAUAU